UACGUAGGUUGCGAGCGUUAAUCGGAAUUACUGGGCGUAAAGCGUGCGCAGGCGGUUCGUUGUGUCGGCGGUGAAAGCCCCGGGCUUAACCUGGGAAUGGCCGUUGAAACUGGCGAACUGGAGUGUGGCAGAGGGGGGUGGAAUUCCGCGUGUAGCAGUGAAAUGCGUAGAGAUGCGGAGGAACACCGAUGGCGAAGGCAGCCCCCUGGGCUAACACUGACGCUCAGGCACGAAAGCGUGGGGAGCAAACAGG
rnacentral:rRNA from 1 species